AAGGCCCCCUCGGGGGCCGAGUAGAGUGGCGUCCGGGUGAGUAACACGUGAGUAAUUUGCCUUCGGGUGGGGAAUAACAACCGGAAACGGUUGCUAAUACCGCAUAAUGCAGCGGCACCUAAUGGUGACAGUUGUUAAAGCGGGGGAUCGUAAGACCUCGCGCCUGGAGAGAAGCUCGCGGCGGAUUAGCUAGUUGGUAGGGUAACGGCCUACCAAGGCGACGAUCCGUAGCCGGCCUGAGAGGGCGGUCGGCCACACUGACACUGACACACGGGUCAGACUCCUACGGGAGGCAGCAGUCGGGAAUUUUGGGCAAUGGGCGAAAGCCUGACCCAGCAACGCCGCGUGAAGGAUGAAGUUUUUCGGAAUGUAAACUUCACAAGAAUGGGAAGAAUAAGGGGGGGUCAAUACCCCCUCCGAUGACGGUACCAUUUGUAAGCUCCGGCUAACUCCGUGCCAGCAGCCGCGGUAAUACGGGGGGAGCAAGCGUUGUUCGGAUUUACUGGGCGUAGAGGGCGCGUAGGCGGCGCAACAAGUCACUUGUGAAAUCUCCGGGCUUAACUCGGAGCGGCCAAGUGAUACUGUCGUGCUAGAGUGCGGAAGGGGCAACUGGAAUUCUCGGUGUAGCGGUGAAAUGCGUAGAUAUCGAGAGGAACACCUGCGGCGAAGGCGGGUUGCUGGGCCGACACUGACGCUGAGGCGCGAAAGCCAGGGGAGCGAACGGGAUUAGAUACCCCGGUAGUCCUGGCCUUAAACGAUGGAUGCUUGGUGUCCGGGGUUACAU
rnacentral:rRNA from 1 species